ensembl:lncRNA
GUCUGGCACACAUUACGCUAAUCCGCGCGCUGCGAGCCGCGUCCCGCAGCCAUCGGCGCGCUCUCUGCCCCCGCCGGGGCGCUCGCUGAGGGGAGGGGAGGGGGGAGAGUGAAAAGGGGCACCUCCGGCGGGGAGAGUCCCUCCUCGUUACGUAGAGAAAUAAAUCGCUCCAGAAAGAGAUGAAUGGCACACAAGGAACGGCUUCUGCCUUACGGGCAUUACUAAAACCCUCACCUCGCCCAUGCGCCCCUACGGCACGCAGGUCAACCGGUGAGCGCUGUGCUUCAGCUCCCUUUCUGCGCCCCGAAGACACGCACGUGGCCACGCGCGGCAGCAGGAAACACCAUGAGGCAGAACCGGAAGGACUGCGGGGCUGCAUGCCACGGCCACGCCAAUCCCAACUUCUGGGCAGGAAACGUAUGCCAUGGCAGAGCGCUGAAGAUGACUCAAAUCGCCUCUCCCCCACCCUCCGGUGCCACGGAACAACAGCCCUCUUCAGCCAGGGGAGGGGGACCACGUGGAGGGAUGACUCAAAGCUCUGGGAUAGGGGAAAAACCCACAGAGCAGAGCACACAGCCACCCCCCCAAAACUCACACCGCCUCAUGUUAUAUUAAUUAAACACACAACAACUGCCUUGAGGUAAUAAACACUACAAAGGCAAAGCCAUCUCGUCCUACCACAAGAUAAGUUUACUGAGGUCAAACCCCAGGGAAAACUAAUCUAACCACAUUUUCAAAUUGUUUGGAAUAUUCCAUAGCCCAACAAAACCAUAAAUUGACAAAAACAUCCUAUCCUAGAAUAGCGUGGGGAUAACAAAGAAUGUUUUGUUUAAUUAAAGGCAGAUGACCUAAUAAAAGUUUCACACUCACAGUGCGCAAAUAAAUCUUCGUCUUUGUUUUACAUCUAUUGCUUUUUUUUUCUUUUUUUUUUAAAGAAAACAAUCCUGUGUUUAUUUCCUUAAGAUGGUAUAUUUUGGCUUUGAUUAAAGUGAUUUCAUUA